rnacentral:tRNA from 1 species
CGCGGGGUGGAGCAGUCAGGUAGCUCGUUGGGCUCAUAACCCAGAGGCCGUCGGUUCGAAUCCGACCCCCGCUACCA